rnacentral:rRNA from 1 species
GCCAGCAGCCAUGUCACCCUGCAACUCACAACUGGCAAACCACUUAAGCUAAGCAGGUGCGAGCCUGGCCAGUACCUAGAUGGAAGACCUCCUGGGAAUCCUAAGGUUGGUGCUGGAA